UGUGCUGGAUGGCAGGCAACCGAAGUGAUUAUGGUUUUAUUGUGCCUGUUUAAUCUGUCAUGGCACUCGUUAGGAAGUGUUGCAAAUAUCAGUUGAUUAUUGGACGUCAACCACACAGUAUAACAACAGCUGCAUUGGAGUGGAAUUACAGGAUCUCUCUGGUGGUACUUCUGAGUGCAGCAGUCAUGAGUCGUGGAGCAUCAGGAAGUCAGCGGUCUGGGGGUCCAUCAUUUCCUCCUUAUGUACACCAUGAAGCAGUUACCUCCCUUGCUGCCAGCCAAAAUAGAUUUACAUGUGAUCUGUAUACUAAAUUAGCAGAGAAGAAGUCAGGCAACCUCUUUUACUCUCCCUUCAGUGUCAUGACAGCUUUAGGAAUGACAUAUGCUGGAGCUGGAGGAAAUACUGAACAAGAAAUGCGUUCCACUAUGCACCUGAGUGAUGACAAAGAACUUAUUCAUGAUGCAUUUCUGGAUGUUGUGUCUGAUAUGAAGAUUGAUGCUGGAGAUUAUGAACUUCGCACAUCAAACAUGGCCUAUAUGUCAAACAAGCUAUCAUUACUGAGCCAGUAUGAUAAAAUCCUGAAAGAAAAGUACCAAAGCACUGCAAAAACUGUUGACUUUGGUGCAAGUGAGGAUGUCAGGCAGGAGAUCAAUGCAGCAGUUGAGAAAGAGACCAACUCCCGCAUUAAGGACCUCAUUCCUUCAGGUGUUCUAGAUUCCUUGACAAGGAUGGUGCUUGUGAAUGCUGUUUACUUCAAGGGGUUAUGGGCUAAGCAGUUUGAUGAAGCAGAUACUCAUGACCAAGAGUUCUGGACCUCAAACACUGAGAGUGUCAAGGUGCCCAUGAUGUACAAGAAAUCUAAGUUUCGCCUAUUCUUUGAUAGAGAUCUUGAAGCCACUGUCUUGGCCAUGGACUACCAGGGUUCCAGAUUGAGCAUGGUAUUUGUGUUACCUGAUAAGCGAGAUGGUUUAGCAGAAGUUGAAGGCAAAUUAGCCAAGACAGAUCUGAGUGAACUUCACAGGAAACUGCGUGAAGUUGAAGUUGAGGUGACUCUUCCUAGAUUCAAGUUAGAAGAAACUCUUGAUCUGGUUGACACUUUGAAAGAGAUGGGAAUGAAGGAUCUUUUCAACGAGGCAUCAGCUGACCUGUCUGGGAUCUCAGGCAACAAGGACCUGUUUGUCUCCAAUGUGAUUCAUAAAGCUUUCCUGGAAGUAAAUGAGAAAGGCAGUGAAGCUGCUGCAGCAACAGGUAUGGUGGCACAAGUCAGAAUGCUUAUACGUCCCAUUCCUCCAUUUAUUGCUGACCAUCCAUUUAUGUUCUUCAUCCAUGAUCAACGUUCUGGUUUGGUGCUCUUUGCUGGAAGACUUGUUGAACUGUAAUAUGACUGCAUUGUAUAUUGAUGUGGAGCAGUGUAACCAAAUUUUAUGGAAGCUUUAUUUAUUUAAGUUAAGAUUCCAUCAUUGUACUGUAUAUAGGGAUCUGGGAUAUUUUUCAAAAUAAUGUUGAUAAUGCUAUUGAAAAUAAUAGGACAAUAUGACAAUAUGUAAGUUCUACUUUCAUCAUGCUGCUUUGGUGAUAAUUCAGUUUUCCUAAACUGAGUGGCACUAGAAUAGUAACCAAAAACAUUAUAAUAAUAAUUGCAGUGAGCUAAUAUAAUCAUACAUAUUUUAAAGCUUAUGGCAGUAAAAUGCCAAUUAAUAAUUUUUGACAGCAUGUUGUUUUGUACAGCAUUCAAGAAUGUCUUAGUUAGUGAAACAAUUGUAGUACCAGCACAUUCAACACUAUUUUUACACUCAAGCAGGCAGCUUAAUCCUCCUUCCCGGUGAAGUUCCUCAUCAUAAAGGUGAAUCAAAAGAGACCAUUGUUUGGUUACCUCUGGUAGGCUACAAAGUAAAUAUAACUCAAAGUGAUACAGUCAUUAGUGUGGAAUCUUUUUUGGCGGUCAUCAAGAGGUAGUUUUUUUGGCUAGGAAUUGUUCUGGGAUGCUUACCUACAUACUUAGCCAUCUUCAGUUGUCAGACUUGAUAUGUCAAGAGAUGUGAUUAGCUGGACCACUCUCUUUAAAAUGUGGUGUUUAGAGUAAUUGUUUAGUCAUUUUUGCCACUUACUCUAUGGCAGGUGGCAUGUAUCUUAUUCAGUAUUGAUAUCAUAAACAGCUUGAGGUAUGAUGAUAUGAACUCAGCUGUAUAUAAGGCCUCAAAAUGUUUUGUACAAUGUUAAUUUAGUAAUUUGAGGUAUGUGUGAUGAUUUGAAACCUGCAGUAUGUGAUGCCUCAGUUUUGGACAAGUUUUAGUGCAGCUGAUCUAGUUUCAGUAGUAAAUAAUGUGACUGAGCUUUAUUUAGUGAAUAUAUCAGAGCUAGUCGCUUCUGAAAAGUGGAAAAUCUGCAAUUGCAAAAUGUGAUCUUGCUAGUGGAUCUAUAUUUGCAAUGAAUAAUUAGGCAAAUUUAUGAUUGUAUUUGUGGAAACUGGAAAUUGCAUGCAGAAUUCCAUAUAUAUAUAUAUAUAUAUAUAUAUAUAUAUAUAUAUAUAUAUAUAUAUAUAUAUAUAUAUAUAUAUAUAUAUUUAAUAUGAAUUUAUUUAUAUAUACUAUGUGACAUUUUCCUUAAAAAGAAUAGCUAAGACAAGUUAUUAACACAAUGUCUUAUCAUAUUUUAGGAAUAAAAAAUGCAGAGCAGGAUAAUCCUCAGCCCAAUCUUCAUCUUAUUUUGCGUCUUUAACAAAAGAAUUGGGAGCAUGAUAGCAAUAUAUUAGCAAUUCCAGUGCAGAGUGUGCAGCUAGGCUGUGUUUCCCAAUGAUAUGAUAGUAUUAUGAUGACAGUUCAAAAUAACCACUUCACUAUGAAUCAUUGGUACUUAUAAUCAUAUAUCCCAUUUUCAUAACUUCACAGAUUGUCUAUUUUUCUUAAGAUUUAACUGAAAUAGGUGAUUGAUUAGGCCAGAGGUUCUCAAACCUUAUUUCAUAGUGGCGCUUUUAUGAUAUAUCUUGGAUCAUGACUGCACACCAACACUGCAGUCAGUGUAUCCCUACAAACGUUUAGGUUUAGAGAUUCAGAUCUUACUCACCCUGGAAUCUUGUCAGUUAACCCUCUUUUUGAAGUGGUUUUGUAGAUUUAAAUUGAUAGUAAACACCUAUCACCACUUUAUCAUUAUUUUGCUGGAAUGUAUUGUUAACAAGCGCUGGGCUUGCCUUAGGAAGUGCACUUUGCUUAAGGCUUAUCGGUAAGGAAUAUGUUAGGUCUGAUGAAAUUCUGUGCUUAUCUUCAUGCUUUUUCUUUAUUAAGAGUUGCUGAUUGCAUUGCACUCUAUGCCAUUCUAUCCUCCUGUUGAUUUGUAUUUCAUGAUCUGGGUUUGCACUAUUUAUUUUCCUUAAAUACUGUAUAUCUGUGAACACAUUCUGACUUCUUUGAUUUUAUUUAUGUAUUUAUUUAUUUAUUUAUUAUUAUUAUUAUUAUUUAUUUAUUUAUUUUUUUUUUUUUUUUCUUGGUGUAGAAUCAUUAACACUAACUUCCUUGAUAUUCAUCUUCAACCUUAUUUUUUCUCUCUGUAUAACUGUAAAAUCUCUUGAAGCACAUCUAUGUAUUUGCUUAACAGUUCAGUCAUGAUGUCAUCUCUAAAAUAAAGGUAACAUUAUAAUUUCAGUCUACAUCUUGUAUAAUCUCUUAAAUUUAUAUUUGGCGUAGUACACCAAAUUUUAUGUAAUUCACAGAAAAAAAACUAUCAUUGAUUGAAUCACAAGGCAGGGUCAUGAGUCAAGUAAUGGCAUUGGGGCCUUGGACAAAGUAGAAUAUAAGGAAGUCAGCAUUGAUAAACUCAUCUGGUUGGCUACCACAUGUGUUUGGAAAUAAUUUCUUGGCUAAAAUCUGUUAUGUAUAAGAUCCUUAUCGUAAUGCUUAAAACAUAUUGAUAAGAUAUUAGUGCAGAGUGAACAUGACUGUUGGCAAGAUAGAUGGGAUGAUACAUUGUGGUUGGUAAUUCCUUAAUGCAGUCAUAUACACACCACUUUCCUGAGCUUAAUUCAAGAAAUGACCAUGAGUAGCUUGGUCACAAUGCCAUGUAAUCAUUAGACUCAUACAUAUCCUGCCACAUGAUACAUUAUGAGUUGAUCACACAAAGUAAGGAGAAGCUUUUGAGUUAUGUAAACAGUUACCUUACCUCUUUGGAUCUUCUGGAAAGCAAAUAAAGGACUAAGUCUUUUC
rnacentral:misc_RNA from 1 species